GAUGAAGAACGUAGUGAAAUGCGAUACUUGGUGUGAAUUGCAGAAUCCCGUGAACCAUCGAGUCUUUGAACGCAAGUUGCGCCCGAAGCCAUCAGGUUGAGGGCACGUCUGCCUGGGCGUCACAUAUCGUUGCCCAAUGCCUAUUGCAGUGCAAUAGGAAUUUCUAGGGCGAAUGAUGGCUUCCCGUGUGCGUUGUUGCCUCGCGGUUGGUUGAAAAUCGAGUCCUUGGUAGGGUGUGCCAUGGUAGAUGGUGGUCGAGUUAGAACGAUACCGAUCAUGUGCAUGCUCCCCAAAAUAUGGCCUCUAUGACCCACACGCGUCUUUUGACGCUCAUGACGAGACCUCAGGUCAGGCGGGGCUACCCGCUGAAUUUAAGCAUAUCAAUAAGCGGAGGA
rnacentral:misc_RNA from 1 species